GCCAAGCCGCUGGCAUCCCCUUCCACACUGUGGAAGCUUUGUUCUUUUUUGCUCUUUGCAAUAAAUCUUGCUGCUGCUCACUCUUUGGGUCCACACUGCUUUUACGAGCUGUAACACUUACCGCGAAGGUUUGCAGCUUCACUCCUUAAGCCAGCGAGACCAGGAGCCCACUGGGAGGAAGAACAACUCCAGACGCGCCUCCUUAAGAGCUGUAACACUCACCAUGAAGGUCUGCAGCUUCACUCCUGAGCCAGGGAGACCACGAACCCACCGGAAGGAAGAAACUCCGAACACAUCCGAACAUCAGAAGGAACAAACUCCAGAGGCGCCACCUUAAGAGCUGUAACACUCACCGCAAGUGUCACCGGCUUCAUUCUUGAUGAGAAGGCUUCCACUGCACUACUGGAAGAAACCAUUGCUUUGGGAAUUUUCUAUCCUGCAGCCCUCAGCAACCCUCUGCUGGAAUGCUGCCACUAUGACUGCUAGAGACACUUCAUGGAAGCCCACAGGACAUGUCACCUUUUCUCAUGGGCUCAUUUCAUGGGCCAGGCACGAGCUUCUGUUCAUUCCACCUAUGGGUUUGAAGGUCAACUCUGCAGCACCUGUUUAAUCUCUAGAAAAGAUGCUGAUAAAACUUGGAAAUGUUGUAGCUCAGGUAUCUUCAUUAUAAUUGAAGCCACCUUUGCAAAAAGUAUGACAGUGAGAGAAACGUGACAUAGAAAAAUUAUGAUAGGGAAAGAAAUAUCACCUAACUGAUUCCAUCUUGCUUCUGACCUCCAAGCUGCCUUUGUUCAUUCCUGGGCAUAGGCCAACCUAACCAUGGAGAAAUUUAAUUUAUAGUUUGACUUUCAAUCAAGGAUGAUAAGAGUCCCUUUCUAAAACUGACCUCCUCCUUGUCCCAGUACUGACACCACCUUUGUAAGACCCAUGAAAGGCCACGGAGAUUGGGAUUAUAGGAGGGGUCUGAAUUCUGCUAAGAUGUAGGCAUAGUUAAAUAAUAACCCACCAUUGUUCCAUAGCUUGCUUGCUUAUAAUCCCUAAUCACUCAGGAUUCUUGAAGCCAGAGGUCACAAGAUUUAUGACUUCUCCAAUUGCUCAUAUAGAUAACAUCACUAUUGUAGAACCUAAGGGGGGCCUUUUGAGAUGUUUUCCAGACUUUUGCAUUCUUACAACUAACUCCAUUUGGACCCAUGACUCAUGACUCAACCAGUCGUGUGGUCCCCACCUAAGGGCUGACUCAGCUCAUGAGGACUGUUUUCCACACCCCUAUGAUUUUAUCUCCAACCAAUAAGCAGCAACCACUGCUUAGCCCCUCCCAGGCAAAUUAUCCAUGAAAACCCUAGCUUCCAAGCUUUCAGGGAGACUGAUCUGAGUAAUAAACUCCUAUCUCCUGCUUAGCUAGCUGUGUUUAUUAAACUCUCUGUUACAAUACUGCUAUCUUGGUAUAUUGGCUGUAUCUGUGCAGUAGGGGAGAAGAAUCCAUCAGGCAAUUACAUGAUAACUCCUUAAUAUUUAAUUAACAGCCAUACUCAUGAAACACUAUUUCUAAAUAUUUAUUCAACACAGUCCCCAGAGGACCAGUGGCAUGAAACAUGACACUCAAGUUCUUCAAACUGAUACCUUAAACUGUCUGGGCUUUAUUCACUUCCCAGAUAUGAUGGAAAUAAGUUUCAUUGCUUCCUUUUAAGAAGUUGAACUUAUUUCUGAUUCAUGCCCUAACUGCAUCCAGUUUUCUCUCCUGCAGUAUUUUUUGCUCAAGCCAAAUGGAGCUUGUUGCAUUUUAUCCUCAUUCACACCAUGUAUUUCUACACUGUCACCCCUUUGUCCAGGCCAUUCCUUUUGCCUGAAAUGCCCUUCUCACGGAUGGAUCUCUGCCUUCCCACAGUCCACUCAUGCUUCAAAGUGCCUCUAAAAAUAAAGAUAUCAAAAAGACACCUGCA